rnacentral:rRNA from 1 species
CCCGCAACAAGGCGGUGAGCAUGUGGUUUAAUUCGUAUGAUACGCGAAGUACCUUACCGGGGUUUGACAUGCAGGUGAUCGCCGUUGGAAAGACGGUUUCCUCUUCGGAGGCACCUGCACAGGUGCUGCAUGGCUGUCGUCAGCUCGUGUCGUGAGAUGUUGGGUUAAGUCCCGCAACGAGCGCAACCCUUAUCCCUAGUUGCCAUCAGGUAAAGCUGGGAACUCUGGGGAGACUGCCGGUGAUAAACCGGAGGAAGGCGGGGAUGACGUCAAGUCCUCAUGGCCCUUACAUCCCGGGCUACACACGUGCUACAAUGGCAGGUACAGAGGGCUGCGAAGCCGCGAGGUGGAGCGAAUCCCAGAAAACCUGUCUCAGUCCGGAUUGAAGUCUGCAACUCGACUUCAUGAAGGCGGAAUCGCUAGUAACCGCGAAUCAGCAGGUCGCGGUGAAUACGUUCCCGGGCCUU